AGGGCGUACGGCGAAUGCCUUGCCACUCGAAACUGAAGAAGGACGCGCCAAACUGCGAAAAGCUCCGUGAAGCUGUAAGGAAGCGAAGAAGCGGAGGUGUCCGAAUGGGGGAACCCGGCAGCAGACAUGAGCUGUCAUCUGCAGGUGAAUACAUGGCCUGCAAGAGAGGUACCCGGCGAACUGAAACAUCUAAGUAGCCGGAGGAAAAGAAAACAACAGUGAUUCCCUGAGUAGCGGCGAGCGAAAGGGGAGAAGCCCAAACCGGUUGAAGGACCGGGGUUGAAGGACCAUGACAUGGCAAGAACGAGGAUAGGAGAACGGGAUCGAAAGCCCGGCCGAAGAAGGUGAAAGCCCUGUAACCGAAAUCCGAGUAAAGCCUAAUGGGAUCCUGAGUACGGCGAGACACGAGAAAUCUUGUCGGAAGCAGGCGGGACCAUCCGCCAAGGCUAAAUAUAAACGAGUGAGCGAUAGUGAACCAGUACCGUGAGGGAAAGGUGAAAAGAACCGCGGGAGCGGAGUGAAAGAGAACCUGAAACCGUAUGCCUACAAGAAGUCAGAGCCCGUUAAGGGGUGAUGGCGUGCCUUUUGUAGAAUGAACCGGCGAGUUGCGACAGACUGCGAGGUUAAGGAGGAAAGACCGGAGCCGAAGCGAAAGCGAGUCUUAAGAGGGCGAAAGUAGGAUGUUGCAGACCCGAAACCGGGUGAUCUAGCCAUGAGCAGGUUGAAGUUGAGGUGAAACUCAAUGGAGGACCGAACCGACUACCGUUGAAAAGUUAGCGGAUGACUUGUGGCUAGGGGAGAAAUUCCAAUCGAACCCGGAGAUAGCUGGUUCUCCCCGAAAUAGCUUUAGGGCUAGCGUCGGAAAGAACCUUAGUGAAGGUAGAGCACUGAAUGUGUGAUGGCCCCAUCCCGGGGUACUGAAUACAAUCAAACUGCGAAUGUCAUUAAGGAUGUCCGGCAGUCAGACUGUGAGUGAUAAGGUCCAUGGUCAAGAGGGAAACAGCCCAGACCGCCAGUUAAGGUCCCAAAAUACAGGCUAAGUGGAAAAGGAUGUGGGGAUGCACAGACAACUAGGAGGUUGGCUCAGAAGCAGCCAUCCUUUAAAGAGUGCGUAACAGCUCACUAGUCGAGUGACCCUGCGCCGAAAAUGUACCGGGGCUAAGCCUGAUACCGAAACUGCGGAUUGUAGGAAACUAUAGUGGUAGGGGAGCGUUGUAUACGAGCAGAAGCCGUACCGUGAGGAGCGGUGGAUUGUAUAGAAGUGAGAAUGCCGGUGUGAGUAGCGAGAUGUAGGUGAGAAUCCUACACACCGAAAGCCCAAGGAUUCCAGGGGAAGGUUCGUCCGCCCUGGGUAAGUCGGGACCUAACGCGAGGCCGAAAGGCGUAGUGGAUGGAAAGCAGGCGAAAGAUUCCUGCACCCGUAUAUGGAGCGAAGGAGUGACGGAGACGGAUAGUGUGACCCUCUUAAUGGAUUGAGGGCGAAGCGAAGCGGCUGGUUACCAGGCAAAUCCGGUAACCAUAAGGCUAGAGCGUGACAGGUAAGCGAAAUCUUAGGAAAGUAGCGAAGCACAUGAUGACGGCUUCCAGGAAAAGCUUCUGGCAAUGCAUAUGCGGCCCGUACCAAAACCGACACAGGUGGGCAGGGAGAGAAUCCCGAGGUGAGCGAGAGAACUGUUGCCAAGGAACUCGGCAAAAUGACUCCGUAAGUUAGCGAGAAGGAGUGCUUAAGCAAUUAAGCCGCAGUGAAGAGGCCCAAGCGACUGUUUAACUAAAACACAGCUCUCUGCGAAGUCGCAAGACGAAGUAUAGGGGGUGACACCUGCCCGGUGCUGGAAGGUUAAGAGGAUCUGUUAAGAGCGAUCUGAAGCAGUGAUCCGAAGCCCCAGUGAACGGCGGCCGUAACUAUAACGGUCCUAAGGUAGCGAAAUUCCUUGUCAGGUAAGUUCUGACCCGCACGAAAGGUGUAACGAUUUGGGCGCUGUCUCGGCAGCAGACUCGGUGAAAUCUUAGUACCUGUGAAAAUGCAGGUUACCCGCAACUAGACGGAAAGACCCCAUGGAGCUUUACUGCAGCCUGAUAUUGAAUUCUGGUCAUACAUGUACAGGAUAGGUGGGAGACAAAGAGACGUGCACGCCAGUGUACGAGGAGUCGACGUUGGGAUACCACUCUUGUGUGACCGGGGUUCUAACCUGGUAUCGAGAACAGGUACGGGGAGAGUGUCAGGUGGGCAGUUUGACUGGGGCGGUCGCCUCCCAAAGAGUAACGGAGGCGCCCAAAGGUACGCUCAGAUUGGAUGGAAACCAAUCGUCGAGUGCAAUUGCAGAAGCGUGCUUGACUGUGAGACAGACAAGUCGAACAGGGACGAAAGUCGGGAAUAGUGAUCCGGCGGUGCCGAAUGGAAGGGCCGUCGCUCAACGGAUAAAAGCUACCCUGG
rnacentral:rRNA from 1 species